rnacentral:rRNA from 1 species
AAGAGGGACAACUCGGGGGCAUUCGUAUCCCUGCGCGAGAGGUGAAAUUCGUGGACCGCAGGGGGACGCCCUAAAGCGAAAGCAUUUGCCAAGAAUGUCUUCAUUAAUCAAGAACGAAAGUCAGAGGUUCGAAGGCGAUUAGAUACCGCCCUAGUUCUGACCGUAAACUAUGCCAUCUAGCGAUCCAAUGGGGUAUUGUAGCCUUGUUGGGGAGCUUCCCGGAAACGAAAGUCUUUCGGUUCCUGGGGUAGUAUGGUUGCAAAGCUGAAACUUAAAGAAAUUGACGGAAGGGCACCACCAGGAGUGGAGCCUGCGGCUUAAUUUGACUCAACACGGGAAAACUCACCCGGCCCGGACACCGUUAGGAUUGACAGAUUGAAAGCUCUUUCUCGAUUUGGUGGUUGGUGGUGCAUGGCCGUUCUUAGUUGGUGGAGCGAUUUGUCUGGUUUAUUCCGAUAACGAGCGAGACUCUAGCCUGCUAAAUAGUGUCCAGAUAUAUAAGUCUGGCUUACUUCUUAGAGGGAUAAGCGGUGUUUAGCCGCACGAGAUUGAGCGAUAACAGGUCUGUGAUGCCCUUAGAUGUUCGGGGCUGCACGCGCGCUACACUGGAAGAAUCAGCUGGUCCUUCCAUUGCCGAAAGGUAUUGGUAAACCGUUGUAAACUCUUCCGUGACCGGGAUAGGGAAUUGUAAUUAUUUCCCUUGAACGAGGAAUUCCUAGUAAGUGUGAGUCAUCAGCUCACGUUGAUUACGUCCCUGCCCUUUGUACACACCGCCCGUCGCUGUCCGGGACUGAGCUGUUUCGAGAAGAGUGGAGACUGCUGUAUUGGGGCUUUCGGGCUCUGGUAUGAUGGAAACCAUUUUAAUCGCAAUGGCUUGAACCGGGCAAAAGUCGUAACAAGGUAUCUGUAGGUGAACCUGCAGAUG